rnacentral:lncRNA from 1 species
UGGUGGUGGUGUGGUACGCGCGCGGUGCUGGUGUAGGCGUCGUCCGGGACAGAGAGAGAAAGAGAGGGGGUGGGAGAGAAGAAGAGAGAGAUCGGAGCCGCCAUCCCACGGAGGAAACGACGAGACGUCGUCGCUGUUUCCAAGACUUUUGGCUCGUCCGUCCUCUCGCGACACACCUUCUUACGCGGGGGUCCUUUUCUUCGUCGCGAGUUUUCGCGAAAUCGCGACAUUUCGUAUAUUCUUCUUCUCGGAGAGGGAGAGGAAAAGGAGUGGGAACGAGAGGAGAAGGAGAGGAAAAGGAGGGUGAAGGUCUUUGUCGAGGACAAAAGAGAGGGAAAGUGAAUUUAGGAGGAUGUGAAAAUUAUUAGUAGAUACGCGUUUGAUGAACGGAGAAAGUGUGAUUUUACUGACAGAGGGAUAAAGGGAGAGCAAUAUGUAUAUGGAGUCGGAGUGAAAGAAAGAGAACCGGCGUGCGUAAGCACGCUUCGAAGAAAGCCAGAGGGGUGGCCAAGGUGCUCUCGGAGUCGGCGAUAGGAGUCGGCGAUAGGAGGGGGCGGCGGGGCCAAAGCUGUCACUUCGAUCGCCAUUUUAGCAGCGAGGCGUGCGGUUCCCCCGACAAAUCGAAGCGCCCUGCUAUCGGACCUAGUCACCGCCGGACUCGUUCGCGAAGAAUACGACGGAACAAGGACCGAAGAACAGGAACGAACCGGGCCGGUACGAAAGCAGAAUCUUGGUUCAAGGAGAAUCCGGCGAAGAGAAAUAGAAGGAAACUCUUCCUUUUCUUUUCUCGACUUUUUUAUCAAAGAAGAGAGAAGAAGAAACGAGGAGGAAUCGACGACUCGCGAUGCUUCUGCGCGUUUAAAAGGUCCGCUCGCGCGACUCGGAACGAGAUAUACUUAGAUAGAUAGUUAGAUAGGUUAG